rnacentral:misc_RNA from 1 species
AGCAGACCUUGAAGAAGUAACGUCGUAGUUGCAGUCCUUGAAAGACUGUGCACGACCACCAAGAAUAGACCUCCCAGGUCCCCUCAAGAAAGGAUGCUCUGGACUUCCAGUGCCACUGUAGUCGGAACUGAAACAGGUAGGACUAAUGGGACCCAUCGGUGAGUUACAUGAAUCAGUUUCUACAGAAUCACUCUCACCAAAGAAAUGUGAGCGAUGUAGCUGCU